UAGCCUAACGGCUGAACCAGCAAUUUGGGGGAAUGUAAGUAUUGAAAUAUCAUACGAUUCGGCUAUGCCGUAUAAAGUUCUAGGUAGUAGACUGAUAAUGACAAUUUACUAUCUAUAUGUCUUGACCAAAUCUUGUGCCAGCAGUCGCGGCAAUACAAGUAAGACUAGUGUUAUUCAUCUUUAUUAGGUUUAAAGGGUACCUAGACGGUAUAUCUAGCCCGAUAAGGGUACGGAUUUACUAGAGUUUUAUGUGAGAGGUAAAUAUUAGAACCAUAGGUGUAGAGAUAAAAUGCUUUGAUACUAAUGGGACAGAUAGCGGCGAAGGCAAACCUCUAUGAUAUAACUGACGUUGAGGGACGAAGGCUUGGGUAGCGAAUAGGAUUAGAUACCCUAGUAGUCCAGGCAGAGAAUUAUGAAUGUUAUAGACUUGAUAUCUCGCACAAAGCGUGCGACAGGUGUAUAAAUUAAAGUGUAAGCAUUCCACCUCAAGAGUAAUGUGGCAACACAGGAACUGAAAUCAUUAGACCGUUUCUGAAACCAGUAGUGAAGUAUGUUAUUUAAUUCGAUGACCCUCGAAAAACCUUACCACAAUUUGAAUGGUAUUUAUACGUUAACUCUUUUUUAUGUAUAAAUAUUACAAGCGUUGCACGGCUGUUUUUAGUUAAUGUCGUGAGAUUAUGGUUAGAUUCAUUAAAUUAACGUAAACCCUUGCUUUAUUUAUUAUUAAUAAAGCAGAUCGCCAUUCUUUGGAGAUGAUAGCAGGGAUUAAGACAAGUCAUCAUGACCUUAAUAUU
rnacentral:rRNA from 1 species